GACGAAUGCUGGCGGCGUGCCUAAUACAUGCAAGUCGAGCGAAGUUUUUCUGGUGCUUGCACCGGAAAAACUUAGCGGCGAACGGGUGAGUAACACGUAAAGAACCUGCCUCAUAGACUGGGACAACUAUUGGAAACGAUAGCUAAUACCGGAUAACAGCAUUAACUGCAUGGUUGAUGUUUAAAAGUUGGUUUUGCUAACACUAUGAGAUGGCUUUGCGGUGCAUUAGCUAGUUGGUGGGGUAAAGGCCUACCAAGGCGACGAUGCAUAGCCGACCUGAGAGGGUGAUCGGCCACACUGGGACUGAGACACGGCCCAGACUCCUACGGGAGGCAGCAGUAGGGAAUCUUCCGCAAUGGGCGAAAGCCUGACGGAGCAACGCCGCGUGAGUGAAGAAGGAUUUCGGUUCGUAAAGCUCUGUUGUUAGGGAAGAAUGAGUGUGUAGUAACUAUACACAGUAGAGACGGUACCUAACCAGAAAGCCACGGCUAACUACGUG
rnacentral:rRNA from 1 species